GCCUCACUAGCCCAACCGGCAGGGUAUCGGCCUUCCAAGCCGAAGAUGCGGGUCCGAAUCCCGUGUGAGGCUCGA
rnacentral:tRNA from 1 species